CAAGUUGACUAAGGCAGAGAGACUUAAGGCCACGUCCUGCUGUGGGUGGGGGAAGCCAAUGAAUCCGCAGCCCAGAACGCCGUUGGGUAAGAAUGGCAACAGUUGCCAAGCAGCAAAACCACUUUAGAGGGGUGCAGGUGUCGGGAUUAUGUCUGAGAGGUACUCAAAUGUUCCUGAGCUCCGUACUGCAAGGACAGGUCAGAUAUUUCUGGAGGAAUUUCCCGGUGAUGGCAGUGGGAGAUCUAGUAUGCAUUUGUCCACAGCAGAGAGAAAAAACAGCAGGCAACUGAAAUCAAGGUGUCCGCAGGACUGCACUCCUUCUGAAGGCUGUAUGGGAAGAUCCUUCUCUGCCUCCUCCAAUUUCUGGUGGCUCCCGCUGUUCCUUAACUGAUGGCAGCAACACGUGGCUCUCUGCCUCCAGCGCCACCUGGCUUUCUCCCUCAUGUCUCCUUAUAUUUUAAGGACACCCGUCACCUUGGAUGAAGAGCCAAACCUACUGUAUAUGAUAUCCACUGUGCAUAAUUCAGAGGGUAGGAUUUCCUGUCAUUGUUCAUGUGAUUCCAAUGUCCAGAGAAGAGACGAUAUUCAAAACACCUCAAUCAGUAACUGGCACAAAAUAUUCCCCCACUAGGUAUCUCCGUGCCCUUUCUUUUUCUUAUAAGAACAGCAGUCACUGGAUUAGAGCCCGCCCUAAAUCCAAUGUGCUAUCAUCCCAAAAUAUUUGGGACAUCUUGACAAGUGACAAGUGAAUAAAUGACAAGUGUGAAGUCCCCGUUUCCAAAUAAGUUCACGUCAUGGGUCCUGAAUAUUAGGACUCUGACAGAUCUUUUUGGAAGACUCGAUUCCACCCACUACAUUUACUGAGGAUUUUUGUUAAAUUGACCUUAAAUCAA